rnacentral:sRNA from 1 species
GUAUUUUUUUUUAAAAACCUUUUUUCAUUUCAAUUUGUAUAUUUCUAUAAAAAUAUAUAUACAUUUUUUUUGGUUUACUCAAAAAUAUUUUUUUACGUAUUUUUGGUAAAUGUGUAAUAUUUUUCCAACAAGUUAGUAGUUAGAAAAUUUUUGUAACGAUGCAAAUUUUUCAGUCGUGUGUUAUUAAUUUUUCUUUUUUGUUAAUUCUUUGAUUUUACUGCUGUUUUUUCUUUUUUGUGUCAGAUUUCUUGUUAUGUUUUAAUAAUUUCACAAUAGUAUGUAGUAGUCAUCUAAUACAGGUAUAGACAAUACCUUUUUUGUACCAAGUUCUCUGCGAGACAGUCGGAGACUGAGUAUCGUUGUUUCUUUAUCUCUUGGCGACUUCCAAUGUUGAGUCACUUUGAGGAGCUCACUUGAGAAAUGUGUGUCUGUUAACAAUCAUAAAAAGUAAAGCAAUUUUAUAAAAAGC